ensembl:snoRNA
UUCUCAUGAUGGCUUUUUCUCAUGAUGGUCAGAUGCCGCUGUGGGCAGUGGCAAUAAUGCCGAUGGCUCAGCUGAUGCCAGGAA